rnacentral:sRNA from 1 species
GGCGCAGUCCGCGGCAGGGUUCCGGCCGUGCUGCGGUCCGCACGCUGCGCCCGCUCCCGCCUGCUUCCCGCCCUACCCCCCACCCUCCCCGGCCGAGGCCCGGCGCCGGUCCGUCCGCGGGCCCGUCCCACCGCCCUGGAGCACCAUCCGGGGCCGUGGGCCGGGCACCGGGCGCGGCCCGCUUCGGACCUCGGCCGGGGGUCCCUCCCCUCCCCCCGCUCGACCCCCCAUCCGACGGCCCGGCCGGGCUGGGACCCCCGCACCGGGGUCCCGGUUCCCGUCCGCGGCCCGGGGGGACCCGAGCGGGGGCUUCCCACCCCCACCCCGCUCCUCCCCGGGCUCCGGCCCGGGAUCCCUCGCUGCUCCCGGCGACCUCCGCCGGCUUCCCGGUCCACCUGCCGCGGAACGGACGGGACCCGGGGUCCGCGCCCUUCCCCUCCCCCCACGGGGGGGCUGGGUCGCGGACCCCGGUUCCUAGGCUCGUUCCGCGGUGGGCGACCGGGGAUCCCCCACCCAGCUCCCCUUCCCGGCUCGCCCCGCUGGCUUUUGGGCCCCUCCGGGCUUUUUUUCCGGCUGGGGGUCGCGGCGGCCGGCCGACGACGGUAGGUGGGCCGGGCGGACGGUGGUGGGGACGGGCGACGCCCCGGUUCGACGGCAGUCGGCCCCGGAGGGUUGGGGGCUGGGGGCCCGGUCAGGAGCUCCGGGAGCGGGGUCGACCGCGACGGCUUCCGGGUCUCGCGGCGGCUCCCUCUCGGCGGCUCCGGUUGGGCUCCCCUCCCCCCUCUCGAGGGUCCGGUCGCCGGUCGUGGUCGGGGGUCCCUCGGCCUAGCCGCCGGCUCUCGGUCCGCCUUACCCUGGGCGUUGGCCGGUCCCGUGACGCUCCCCUCCCCCGCUGCUCCCCAAAAACUCCGCCCGAACCGUCGCGGUUUGCUGGCCCUGGGCGUGGUCCCCCCACUCCCCUCCCCCCAUCGGCCGCCCAGCCGGGGUCGGCGCCUCGGACCCCACCAGGCUGUGGCGUGUGUGCUGGCCGAUGCGGCGGCGAGGUUGGGUGUGGCCGGAAGCGCUCGGGGUCGACGGUGGGCCGCCAUGACACCUCAAUUGCCGUCAGUACGCCCCUCCACAAUCACCGUCCCCACACGAUGGGCCCGGCAGUUCACCCAACGUUGGUUCAGGCCCAGUCGGGUUUUUUCCCGGUACGAACGCACGUCCCCGUGGGCUCCACGCGUUUUCCACCCUUUCCUGGAGGGGUCCGGAACACCGUGAAUCCACGGGGAGGGUCCCGGCACGGGCCGAGGAGACCACGACCGUCCCACCCGGCGUGUCGACUCGUCCGAGACCCGGGAAGGAAACAGGCCCCACCUUUUUUUUUUCCCUUCUCCGAUUUGCCGUGGAAAACCCGUGAACCGAUACGGGUGCAGACGGCCGAAAAAAUUCGAGACGGCAAUACGACGGCAGGGCGUGACUUUCUCCCCCACCCGACAAAACCGUGUCCCUCAAAAUUCCCCACCUUUCUCUGUUCAAAUGGCCCCGAAACUGUAAAACACCGUUUGACCGCACCCCAACCGGCGCCAUCUUGGUGACCUCGACGGUUCUCUCGCUCGUCAUGCCGUUCUGAGCUCCGACAUGGCGGACGAGAGAAAAUGGCGUCGAGAGCCGAGGAGCGUUUUCGCUCCAGGCGGGUAAAAAAAUUAGCACGAUAACUUUUCUGUGCUUUUUUGAGACGUUUUUGAAGAGCUUUUUUUUUCUGCUCAGAGCGAAAAAAUGAUAGCCCUGAAAAUCUCGACGAGUCUGGCCGAGCGGCGCCAUCUUGGAGGAGGGGCGAGUCGCGGGCACCGCCUCGGUACCCCCUGGCCGAGGCGAGUCCGCGGUCGCCGCCUGUUCCGUGAUGCUACCUAGAGGGCGCCGUCGAGGCGACUCUUCCUGUUUUCGCCCUGAGGGCUAACUGUCGCUGACGUCAAACCAUCUCGUGCUCGCUGAGUCACAUCCGGUUGUUGACAAGCGAUGGAGGACCGCACCCAAAGUGCGCCCUCUAGUCAUCGCGCCUGACCCCUUUUAUAAACUGCUCGAAGAAAAAAGAACACCUUAUGUGAAAAAAUACAGAAUGAUGACAAGUUCAUCCAACACAACCGCUCAACAACGCCAUAUCUAUCAGUGUCCAAAAACUAUCUUCUAUCCUUUGAAACUAUAAAUGCUGCCUAUAUACAUAUUUAGUAUCCAAGACUCUUACCACGUAGACGAAAAGAAGUGAUACAAUGAUCUUGACGUGUAUCGUCUAUAUCGUGCUAGAUAUAUUCAGAUAAGACGCGCAAACCAUAGAUUUCUCAUCAGUAUCAUGAAAGACCUAUAGCUCUAUAUACGAACCUAGUCAUUUUAGGACAGCCGCCGGAGAAGCCGACGAGGGAUCGGGCGGGUGCAGCCAGAACCUCACGCCCGAUCCCGCCUCCGGUAGGCGAUUUGCAUCUGUUUGGUAAAAAGCUCAUAAGUCUGUAUGUGACCUAUAUAUAUUAUACGCUAUGUACACCGAACUGUCGCUGUUGUAUAAGAAGAAAAAACUCUCCAUAUUUAUAUCGUCUGAAUUUUUGCUUGAUAGACACGUGUUUGGAACUCUGUCCCCCCACGUUUUCACUGUGUAUAACAAAAAAUAUGUGUUUCUCAAAAGAUCUUGAGGUGUUUGAAAACGGGGGAAACCUGCGUUUGGGUGCUCUAAGCCCCGGACUGGGACGUAGCCGGCGUCCGGCACCUAUAUUUUUCUAUUUUUUUUACAAAAUAUAUGAUGAACCAAGAAUAAAACUCUAGCUCUCGUCUAUUUUUAAUAUGCUCUACUUAGAACCUUUUUAAUGACAGAAUGAACUCCAUGUUAUACGCUCUUUAUAUAGUUUCUCUGCACUAACCUUUAAAACCGUAUCCUUCCCUGUUGUACAAAUCAUCUUUUGAUACACAAUGAUGACCUGAUAUCCCUCCAUAUAUAUGAUCGGAUUUUAUUCCGUUAGACUUGUCCUCCUUUUUUUUCCUCAUCUCCUGUAUCUGGAGAUAUAUGUUGACCACCACCGCCAUGACCACCAAAAAGCUAGCCGUCACGACUAGAAAUGUGUAGGAUUCGGACUUUCCGUUCGAGAAGAAAGAGACCGCGUCUCUGGACGCUCUUUUUGUCAGUCUGAAUCGACCCGGGAUACGUAAGAGAGCGGCCCUACAUCGGGGGGCGCUCGAGACCGACGACGUUCCAUCUGACCAGAAAAAAAGGCACCCCUCGGUGGCGACCUCUCACCAUCGUUUGCCCGUCCGCCCGUCCUUCGCAGCCAUCAUCAUCAUCUCAGGCUCUAUCGGUACCAUCGUUGUCAUCUAAAAAAAAAAAACUGCCUCACCCACCUGCGUAAAAACACCAUCUUUCCGGAGGUGCGGUAAGACGGGCAAAUACGGUCGUGCCGAGGCAAAAAAACGCACCAUCGACACCACACCCUCAUGAGCACCACCUGUCGGUGUUGGUCGUCCUCCAUCGUUCUCUGCGAACAUCUCGACGCCCGGGUGACGGACGACGGCAAGACGUCCCGGAGAAGACGGUGUUCUCUCGGGCGGUACGCUCUCUGGAUCUAUAAUAUCUAUAGUAGCUAAACGAGACUGUGAGUACGACGAACCACAUCAUCUUUUUUUUAUGUUGCUUCUUUAGAAAAUGACUUAUGUCGACGACACUCGACAUCAGCCAUCUCGUGAAACACGCUCGCUUUUCGUCUCUCCAAGGAACACUGGGUCCGCUGAAAGGGACCGUGUACCGACCAAAGCAAAAAACACACACGUAGUAACAUGAUCAACCACGUCUGAAUGACACGAAAACACAAUCGUAUAACGCUCUAUUCAUGGAACGAACUUGGAAUAAAAAAACCAUCGCAGGCCAGAGGCUAAGCCGAAACCGUCCGGGGAAGCGGGCGCGAGUUUUCCGACUUAGUCUCUGGUGCUCGUUGAGCCUCUUUUUUUUUCCUGAUUCUCUGAAGAAUCACCGUCACAGCCCUAUGACGCGAAAUCAAUUGCUAGAACAUAAACGUUCUCAACAGGUAUGAAAUGAACAAACUAGAUGAUGCUAUAACCUUAUAUUGUGUGUAUAUAGAUAGGUGUGAAAUUUGUAGGAUAAAAAGUGUCGUUGUAUGAUGCACAACGAUCGUGAAACUGGAGACUGUAGCUCUCUACCGAAUGCAAAUACACAAAUGACAUCGAUUCCCGUCCCCACAUAAAGAAAUGUGCUUUACUGUGAAAGAAUGAAGAAGAUUCUUGUUCCUCGUACGACGGGGCCCUCGCUCGUCGUGCCUCUUCCCCCCUCCGGGAGAGGGGACGUCGGGGCCCUCCGUCGCACCGGGCCGAAGCCAGUGAAAUGUUUACUACACUGUCAUCAGAAUAUAUGAUGUAUAUUAUUUCCUCCAAACUCCUCACCAUAGCCACCAAUUCGCAUCACUUAAGAAAGUAGUAGCAACCGCGGCGGCGGCGACCGGCCGGUCGUCGUCUCCUCGUCCUCAAAUGUUGUACAUGUGCAGAAAAAUGUGUAAAUACGUGUUAUUUAUCCCAUGCGUCUUGUACAUAGAUAUGUUUUUAUAUACGCUAUUUAUACUUUAUAUAUCCUUUUGCAUAACCAUAGACAGUCAAGGAUUUUAAUGAUUUGCUCAUCCGCCUUUGAGCCAUCGCUUAGGAGUUAGUUCCUCUAUGUUCUCGGCCCACCUUUUCGACUACAGUAGCAAACCCUUGUACUACCACCCCGAUAAAAACCACAUCAUCAUCGUCACCACGACCUGGAAACGACACACGUUCCCCCCCAAUCUUGGGCAUGUGUAUAUAUAAAAAGAAUGGGAGGGAGAGGACGUGGGGCUCGAGAAGAAAUAAACGCCAAGCUCGAUUCGAACC